CCUACGGGUGGCUGCUGUGGGGAAUAUUGGACAAUGGGCGAAAGCCUGAUCCAGCCAUGCCGCGUGUGUGGAGAAGGCCUUCGGGUUGUAAAGCACUUUCAGUGGGGAAGAAAGCCUUGGGGCUAAUACCCUCGAGGAAGGACAUCACCCACAGAAGAAGCACCGGCUAACUCCGUGCCAGCAGCCGCGGUAAUACGGAGGGUGCGAGCGUUAAUCGGAAUUACUGGGCGUAAAGCGCGCGUAGGCGGUCUGAUAAGCCGGUUGUGAAAGCCCCGGGCUCAACCUGGGAACGGCAUCCGGAACUGUCAGGCUAGAGUGCAGGAGAGGAAGGUAGAAUUCCCGGUGUAGCGGUGAAAUGCGUAGAGAUCGGGAGGAAUACCAGUGGCGAAGGCGGCCUUCUGGACUGACACUGACGCUGAGGUGCGAAAGCGUGGGUAGCAAACAGGAUUAGAUACCCGUGUAGUC
rnacentral:rRNA from 1 species